rnacentral:rRNA from 1 species
CGUCAAAUCAUCAUGCCCCUUAUGACCUGGGCUACACACGUACUACAAUGGACGGAAACAGAGGGAAGCGAAGCGGCGACGCGGAGCAAAACCCUAAACCCGUUCUCAGUUCGGAUCGCAGGCUGCAACCCGCCUGCGUGAAGUCGGAAUCGCUAGUAAUCUCGGAUCAGCAUGCCGAGGUGAAUACGUUCCCGGGUCUU